rnacentral:ncRNA from 1 species
AUAAGAUUUCGGCUUUGAAAAUUCACAUUGAUGGGGAGGUUCGGCACCUCAACGUUGGCUUUUUGCCACCUGGGGCUAUAGUAUGUUCCAAAGGUUGGGCUGUUCGCCAUUAAAGCAGUACACAAGCUGGGUUCAGAUCUAUUAAUC